rnacentral:rRNA from 1 species
UGUAUAAUGGGUCAGCGACUUAUAUUCUGUAGCAAGGUUAACCGAAUAGGGGAGCCGAAGGGAAACCGAGUCUUAACUGGGCGUUAAGUUGCAGGGUAUAGACCCGAAACCCGGUGAUCUAGCCAUGGGCAGGUUGAAGGUUGGGUAACACUAACUGGAGGACCGAACCGACUAAUGUUGAAAAAUUAGCGGAUGACUUGUGGCUGGGGGUGAAAGGCCAAUCAAACCGGGAGAUAGCUGGUUCUCCCCGAAAGCUAUUUAGGUAGCGCCUCGUGAAUUCAUCUCCGGGGGUAGAGCACUGUUUCGGCAAGGGGGUCAUCCCGACUUACCAACCCGAUGCAAACUGCGAAUACCGGAGAAUGUUAUCACGGGAGACACACGGCGGGUGCUAACGUCCGUCGUGAAGAGGGAAACAACCCAGACCGCCAGCUAAGGUCCCAAAGUCAUGGUUAAGUGGGAAACGAUGUGGGAAGGCCCAGACAGCCAGGAUGUUGGCUUAGAAGCAGCCAUCAUUUAAAGAAAGCGUAAUAGCUCACUGGUCGAGUCGGCCUGCGCGGAAGAUGUAACGGGGCUAAACCAUGCACCGAAGCUGCGGCAGCGACGCUUAUGCGUUGUUGGGUAGGGGAGCGUUCUGUAAGCCUGUGAAGGUGUACUGUGAGGUAUGCUGGAGGUAUCAGAAGUGCGAAUGCUGACAUAAGUAACGAUAAAGCGGGUGAAAAGCCCGCUCGCCGGAAGACCAAGGGUUCCUGUCCAACGUUAAUCGGGGCAGGGUGAGUCGACCCCUAAGGCGAGGCCGAAAGGCGUAGUCGAUGGGAAACAGGUUAAUAUUCCUGUACUUGGUGUUACUGCGAAGGGGGGACGGAGAAGGCUAUGUUGGCCGGGCGACGGUUGUCCCGGUUUAAGCGUGUAGGCUGGUUUUCCAGGCAAAUCCGGAAAAUCAAGGCUGAGGCGUGAUGACGAGGCACUACGGUGCUGAAGCAACAAAUGCCCUGCUUCCAGGAAAAGCCUCUAAGCAUCAGGUAACAUCAAAUCGUACCCCAAACCGACACAGGUGGUCAGGUAGAGAAUACCAAGGCGCUUGAGAGAACUCGGGUGAAGGAACUAGGCAAAAUGGUGCCGUAACUUCGGGAGAAGGCACGCUGAUAUGUAGGUGAAGUCCCUCGCGGAUGGAGCUGAAAUCAGUCGAAGAUACCAGCUGGCUGCAACUGUUUAUUAAAAACACAGCACUGUGCAAACACGAAAGUGGACGUAUACGGUGUGACGCCUGCCCGGUGCCGGAAGGUUAAUUGAUGGGGUUAGCGGUAACGCGAAGCUCUUGAUCGAAGCCCCGGUAAACGGCGGCCGUAACUAUAACGGUCCUAAGGUAGCGAAAUUCCUUGUCGGGUAAGUUCCGACCUGCACGAAUGGCGUAAUGAUGGCCAGGCUGUCUCCACCCGAGACUCAGUGAAAUUGAACUCGCUGUGAAGAUGCAGUGUACCCGCGGCAAGACGGAAAGACCCCGUGAACCUUUACUAUAGCUUGACACUGAACAUUGAGCCUUGAUGUGUAGGAUAGGUGGGAGGCUUUGAAGUGUGGACGCCAGUCUGCAUGGAGCCGGCCUUGAAAUACCACCCUUUAAUGUUUGAUGUUCUAACGUUGGCCCCUGAUCGGGGUUGCGGACAGUGUCUGGUGGGUAGUUUGACUGGGGCGGUCUCCUCCUAAAGAGUAACGGAGGAGCACGAAGGUUGGCUAAUCCUGGUCGGACAUCAGGAGGUUAGUGCAAUGGCAUAAGCCAGCUUGACUGCGAGCGUGACGGCGCGAGCAGGUGCGAAAGCAGGUCAUAGUGAUCCGGUGGUUCUGAAUGGAAGGGCCAUCGCUCAACGGAUAAAAGGUACUCCGGGGAUAACAGGCUGAUACCGCCCAAGAGUUCAUAUCGACGGCGGUGUUUGGCACCUCGAUGUCGGCUCAUCACAUCCUGGGGCUGAAGUAGGUCCCAAGGGUAUGGCUGUUCGCCAUUUAAAGUGGUACGCGAGCUGGGUUUAGAACGUCGUGAGACAGUUCGGUCCCUAUCUGCCGUGGGCGCUGGAGAACUGAGGGGGGCUGCUCCUAGUACGAGAGGACCGGAGUGGACGCAUCACUGGUGUUCGGGUUGUCAUGCCAAUGGCACUGCCCGGUAGCUAAAUGCGGAAGAGAUAAGUGCUGAAAGCAUCUAAGCACGAAACUUGCCCCGAGAUGAGUUCUCCCUGACUCCUUGAGAGUCCUGAAGGAACGUUGAAGACGAC